rnacentral:lncRNA from 1 species
UUUUUUCAGGAACUCAUUGUGUCUUCUUUCUCCCAUCCCAGGUAUUCUUUCCAAAUGGCUAUGUAGUCAAAUUCCCUGAAGAGGAAGUUGACAGUCUGUACAGAGUCCCAGGACUUCCCGGAUCAGGAAACUCUAAAGUCCAUUGUCUCCAUCCCCAUCCUCAUACCUGAAAAUCACUCAUCCCAGCCUUCCAUUUUAUGAGUCCAUCUAAUUAAACUGGGAGCUCUUUGAGAGAAAGAACUGUUUGUUUUUGCCUUUUUUUUUAUCCCCAGACGUUAGCAAAGAGACGGGUGCAUAGCAGGUGCUUCAUAAAUGCUAGUUGACUGAUUGACUCCAUUUCCUUUUCUCUAAUUUCUAGUCAAAGCCCCAAACUCUUAUCUUAACUGACUUCAGCUCCUCAAUCUCUCCUGUCCUUUAGACUAGUGGUGUU